rnacentral:rRNA from 1 species
AAUAGAUACCCAGGUAGUCCACGCCGUAAACGAUGGAUGCUAGCUGUUAUCGGUAUCGACCCCGGUAGUGGCGAAGCUAACGCGUUAAGCAUCCCGCCUGUGGAGUACGGUCGCAAGACUAAAACAUAAAGGAAUUGACGGGGACCCGCACAAGCGGUGGAGCGUGUUGUUUAAUUCGAUGAUAAGCGAAGAACCUUACCCAGGCUUGACAUCCUAGGAAGGUCUCCGAAAGGAGACUGUGCCUUGUGAGCCUAGUGACAGGUGAUGCAUGGCCGUCGUCAGCUCGUGUCGUGAGAUGUUUGGUUAAGUCCAUCAACGAGCGCAACCCUUGUGAUUAGUUGAAUUUUUCUAAUCAGACUGCCCUGGUAACAGGGAGGAAGGAGGGGAUGAUGUCAGGUCAGUAUCUCCCUUACGUCUGGGGCUACAAACACGCUACAAUGGCCGGUACAAAGGGCAGCCAAGUCGCGAGACGGAGCAAAUCCCAUCAAAGCCGGUCCCAGUUCGGAUAGCAGGCUGAAACUCGCCUG